UUCCUGGUGGUCUAGUGUCAGGACUCAGUGCUUUCACAGCUUUGGCCUGGGUUCAGUCCCUAGUCUGGGAAAUGAGGUCCCACAUAAAGCAGCUGCACAUGAAAUGCCCCUAUGCACAAACACAUAAAAUAUUUCCUGCAAGACCAUCUAGGGACCAAGAAUCUUUUGCUCUAAGCACAGGAAAGAAAAAUGGAUGGAAAUGACAUAGAAUUCAGAAAAUAUUUCCUACCUAAGAAAUAUUCUACCUUUUUCUCUAAUGCUAUGUAACCAAGAAGGCAGAAUAUGGGAAGAGAUUCCGAAAAGCAUGUCUUGAACACAUUGUAAAGUUACAUAAAAACAUUGACCAAAAUGAGUUUAAAACAUGAGCGUGAUCUGAUUAUGUAACGGAGGAGACUCACUAUUACUGUAGUUGAAAAUUGUGGCUCUGGAAGCUAUUCCUGGAAAUACUGAAUUCAGGCUUCUAGAAUGAGAGGAACAGUGGGCACGAUCACAAUUGUAUGGCUACUUUUAAAAAAUGUGUGCUGAGGAACUGAGUAUAUUCCCUAGUUUCAUUGUAUGUUAUUAGAAAACCAGUCUGUGAAAUUGGUUGUUCAAGGUUUUGUUCUCCGUGUGGAACGAGAGCAGAAGUGGAUGCUAACAUUGAGUCUUCAUAUACAUGAGGCCCCUCUUUCUUCCAGCAUCAUCAUCUUCCGUGGGAAGCCAGUGAAUCCUUACUUUAAAAUGCGAUUAUAGUGGAGAAAUGAUGUGAUUUUUUGAAUGUACACCAUUGACCAUAAGUUGCAUUUUAUGGCUCUAGUUAAAUGGCUCAGGAUGUUUCCGCUGAGUUCAAGGAGGUAGGGGAAGAAAUCAGUUUCAGAAAAUACAAAGCGGCUCAUUUAUUUAUGAUGUAGACUCUGUUCUCUUUGCGAUUCAGCUGCUUUCAAAGGCGUGUCGUGAGGAUGCUUCAGCUUUGGAAAUGGCCGUGUUGCGAUGGGAAAGAGGACAGUCAUCAGACAGCUCUUUUCAUGAGAGAUUUUGGAGUCAAAACUGCUUGGCCAUUCUUCUAAGGGAGGGUUUUUGCCAUGUAAUUCGAACGUGUAUUAAAUUGUAGCUUAAAAACAAUAAUCCUAGGAGUUCCCAUCGUGGCUCAGCAGAAAUGAAUCUGACUAGUAACCGUGAGGACGUGGGUUCGAUCCUUGGCCUUGCCCAGUAGGUUAAGGAUCCAGCGUUGCCCUGAGCUAUGGUGUGGGUAGCUAACAUGGCUUGGAACCCACAUUGCUGUGGCUGUGGCUGGCAGCUGUCGCUCCAGUUUGACACCUAACGUGGGAACUUCAUAUGCCAUAGAUGUGGCCCU
rnacentral:lncRNA from 1 species